rnacentral:lncRNA from 1 species
AUUUUGUUCUUGUUACCAUGGUGCAUACCAUGUUGCUGUAUCGUGCUUGUUUCAAUCUGCUGCCAAGCUUGUCUUCGCCUUCUGUAAAUUUCAUGUCAAGACUAUUGGAUUUGGUCUGACUGUUUGGUGGCAUCUAUUUGAUCAUUUCUUCUAUUAAAUGAUUUGCCGUUUAUCAACAAUUGAGAUCAACUUAAUUUGGACUUACAUCAUGUAGAUGCUUGUGGCCUUUUCUAUAUUUCUUUAAAUGUACCAUGACUUCGGUUUCUGCUUUCCUUCUCCUGUGAUUUGAACCACGGAGAUCAACUCUAAGUGUCAUUCCAUGUCAGUUUGCGUGAAAGUUCGGCUAGUACAAUACUACAAUUGCUUGUAAAUAAUAAGCUAGUGGCCCAUCAUCUGUCAACAUAUUUCAAAUUUGAUCACUGCACAGUAGAGAAGAAACAAUGUGUUUACUUUUUUCACAUCUUGUUUUGGGCUAAUGUGUCUUUGCAUGAAUCGGCCAUGCUAGUUAGUUAGCAAAAGUCAACUAAAAAUGUGUUAACUAACUAAUUUAGUUAGCAAAAGUCAACUAAAAAUGAUUUGAAUCAUCGAAUCGAAUUUACAUUUCUCAAAUAUGGAACCAUUGGCAAGGCGCCUUCUAAAUGAAAUUUGUGCAUGUUAAUUGAUGUAAACAAAGAUAAACAUUAAAUUUAUUUAUGGUUCAAAGUAAAUACUCGGUUCUAAGGAAUUACAAAGUUCACACAUAUCAUAUAGUAUUGAUACGAAAGCAAAAAAUAAACAAAUAAAGUCAAAUUCCAUAUUAUAUUUUUCAUUUACACGUGGAUUUUAUUAAAGAUAGAUUCCACAUAAAAAAGUUAUUAAAUAAUGAAUUUCCGGGGGAAAAGCCUCUCACGUACCUAACCAAUUCGUUUUUUUAGAGUUGGCACUCCAUUUGUCAUUUGUUAAUGUUAAAUUGAUCUUCAAAUGUAACUAGAAAACUAAGUUCUCAAGAAAAAAUAUUCAUGUACAUGUGCAUUUGUUUUAGGUAGAUUCAUGUACAAAGCAAAUAUGCAUAUCAUUCGUGAAUAGUAGUUUAGUCGGUCAUUUUCUAGCAAGUAAAUUAAGAUAAAACAAAAAACAAAAACUACUGGUUCAGAUUGUAUAACCCCAAGCAAAUCUCAGCAAUCGUAUAUCGGACUAGUGCCGCACACAGAUAUAAAAUAGAUUUUGAAAAACGAUAAAAUAAAAAAAAACAAGACAAAACAAAACUGAUGCGUGCAGCAUGAACAAAUGGCAUUACCUACAAACAAUGUGUAACAAACGCUCGUGUUUAAUUUCGUAUCCAAAGAAAAACCUAUGACCCACAGACCAACAUAUAGAAUGUUAAAUAGAACAAAUAUAUUGAGAAAUUCAGUAGCAAAUGUAUAUAGAAUAAUUCUGAAAAGAACAUAAUAAAAAUCAAAUGGCGUUGCUCCUUGACCAUCGCUUCAAGGACGUAAUUACCCUAAACAGCAAAACUGGUACGGCAAAUUGGAACCAUCAAUUGAAAACAUACAAGUCCACGCAUGCGAAAAUGACGACCGAAACAAUCAACCUUUAAUCUAAUUUGUGAGAGCUGACAAACUACACCUCAGUGAUAUGAUAUGGUGGAGAAAACUGGACCGCUGGAUUAUUAUGGAUAGAUCGAGUUCUAUAUACAUCUACACUCGAGAUGAAGCGAUAGAGAGAAUCAGAACACCCGGGAAGUAAAUCGACUAUCUCGCCCCUCCCCACAAGCACACAAAGAAUGAAUGGACUGCCAUGCGAACGCACUCAACAUAAAUAGCAAAAGUAUUAUUUGUCUCAAGAUCCUCCAGUUUAGUUCCCGUGUCGCAACAAAUACCCCGUUCCGUAUCUUACUAAUUUCCCCCAACGAAGAACUUGACCUAAGCUAUCCAUUGACGACCAUGUACUUCUCAUGUUGUCACUACUCUUCAUGUUCUUGGACCAAGAUCACCAAUCCAAAUUCCACGGAUUUAGGGCAACACGAAUGAGACAGAAAUACUAUCUCAUUCGUGACUGUUUGGCGCCUUGGAUAGAACCUUUGCACCGAAACCUAGCGUAGCAACCCAUCAAAAAGAUCUACCAGAGAUAAUUAGUACAAGGCAAGAAAUGCUGAUCCACUUGCGAAUCCACCAAGAAAUGCGAGUCCCCGACUCACUGCACUGAAUUCGUGAAAAGAAGCAGAACUAACGAAUUUCCGCUUGGAUAGUGGAAAGUGAACUACAAGAAUUCCAUCACGAAUGUGCAAACUGCUAUAACAGAUCGGUCCAUGAGUAGAGACCAAGCCACCCAAGAGAAAAAUAAUAAAGAGACGAAUCCACCAACAAAUCGGCAAAAACUCACCGUGAUUCUCACCGAAAAGAGAGGAAAAGGAAAAUCAGAUCCGGAAAUCGGAGUAACAACAAUACAAUGUUAUAAAGAUCCAAGAAAUGAACGGGAAAAAGAGCCAAGAAAGGGAAAACCUAACCAAGUAGCCAGGAACAUCUUGGAAUUGAAAUCUACCUCAGAGAAGUCCGCCGAAAUCAGAUCGACGAGGAAAAAAAAGCCUUUCCAUGGCAAAACCAAAGAACGACAAACCCCGCGAGCCCCGCCCGAAGAGAGAGAGAGAGAGACG